UUGGAUUUCACUCAAAACCCACAAAUAACUCUUUCCACAAUAUUAUGAUGUUCCCCAAGUUUUGGACUCAAUCCGAUAUUGAUUGGUCCACGAAAUUGGACAAUUCAGGUUCGAACGAAGUUCAUUCUGAAAUGGAGUGGUUGGUGUAUUGUAUAGUACUAGGAAUUGGAUUUCACUCAAAAACCAGCAAAUGACUCCUC
rnacentral:lncRNA from 1 species